CUCUAACUUUCUCUCUAAUCUUUCAAUAUUCUUUGUAUUGCUUCCUUCUUCUUUUUCCCUCUGCAACUCUAGUUACUUUGUUAAGAUGGUAUCAAUUGCCCGAACGAUCCUUGGUUCUAUCUCUUCCGCUGAUGAGUUCGUUGAAGUUCUUGGUGGUUCACUGCAGUUCUUGCAGAUUUGCUGAUUGGUUUUCUUUGAUUCUUGGGUUGCUGAACAACGUAUCAGGCAGUACAACUGUAGAAGCAGUCCAAUACGGACGGCAAGGCGAAGAGAAGAGAAAUCACUAAUAGUGACGGGUGGACUUUUUCAACAAUCUAAAUCUAAUGGGACAUGUGAAAGGUACUCAAAUAUUUGUACAGUAUAUUUUUAUUGAUCGGAAUAUGUAUAAUUUAUACAUA